rnacentral:rRNA from 1 species
CCUUACAGCUACACCACUCUGGGUGCACCUAGCCUCACUUGUGCUCUGAAACUAAGCUAAGCUGGACCUGGUCAAUACCUGGAUGGGAGACUACCUGAAAACACCAGCAGAUCUUGGAG